rnacentral:rRNA from 1 species
CGUAGGGGGCAAGCGUUGUCCGGAAUUACUGGGCGUAAAGCGCGUGUAGGCGGGACGACAAGUCCGGCGUGAAAGGCUUGGGCUCAACCCGAGAUGGCCGUUGGAAACUGUCGUUCUUGAGGGUCGAAGAGGAGAGUGGAAUUCCUGGUGUAGCGGUGAAAUGCGUAGAGAUCAGGAGGAACACCCAUGGCGAAGGCAGCUCUCUGGUCGACCUCUGACGCUGAGACGCGAAAGCGUGGGGAGCGAACGGGAUUAGAUACCCCGGUAGUCCACGCCGUAAACGAUGGUCACUAGGUGUAUGCGGUAUCGACCCCGCAUGUGCCGCAGCUAACGCAAUAAGUGACCCGCCUGGGGAGUACGGCCGCAAGGUUG